rfam:Dipodomys ordii contig_21920, whole genome shotgun sequence.
GGGAAUGUGGCUUAGUGGUAGAGUGCUUGCCUUGCAUGCAUGUAGCCCUGGGUUCGAUUCUUCAAUACCA